GACGAACGCUGGCGGCGUGCUUAACACAUGCAAGUCGAACGGAAAGGCCCUGCUUUUGUGGGGUGCCCGAGUGGCGAACGGGUGAGUAACACGUGAGUAACCUGCCCUUGACUUUGGGAUAACUUCAGGAAACUGGGGCUAAUACCGGAUAGGAGCUCCUGCUGCAUGGUGGGGGUUGGAAAGUUUCGGCGGUUGGGGAUGGACUCGCGGCUUAUCAGCUUGUUGGUGGGGUAGUGGCUUACCAAGGCUUUGACGGGUAGCCGGCCUGAGAGGGUGACCGGCCACAUGGGGACUGAGAUACGGCCCAGACUCCUACAGGAGGCAGCAGUGGGGAAUAUUGCACAGUGGGCGGAAGCCUGAUGCGGCAACGCCGCGUGCGGGAUGACGGCCUUCGGGUUGUAAACCGCUUUCGCCUGUGACGAAGCGUGAGUGACGGUAAUGGGUAAAGAAGCACCGGCUAACUACGUG
rnacentral:rRNA from 1 species